rnacentral:tRNA from 1 species
GCCUAUUUGGCCUAGUGGUUAAGGCACCAGACUGGAAACUAGGAGGCUGUGAAUUCUAGUCCCACCUUAGCCA